UAACGCGUGGAUAACCUGCCUCACACAGGGGGAUAACAGUUAGAAAUGACUGCUAAUACCGCAUAAGCGCACGGCAUCGCAUGAUGCAGUGUGAAAAACUCCGGUGGUGUGAGAUGGAUCCGCGUCUGAUUAGGUAGUUGGUGGGGUAACGGCCCGCCAAGCCGACGAUCAGUAGCCGACCUGAGAGGGUGACCGGCCACAUUGGGACUGAGACACGGCCCAA
rnacentral:rRNA from 1 species